rnacentral:tRNA from 1 species
UCUAAAAUGGCAGAUAGAUGCAUAGGAUUUAAGCUCCUACCAGGAAGAUUAUUUCUUCUUUUAGAAA